rnacentral:rRNA from 1 species
UGGGGAAUUUUGGACAAUGGGGGCAACCCUGAUCCAGCAAUGCCGCGUGUGUGAAGAAGGCCUUCGGGUUGUAAAGCACUUUUGUCCGGAAAGAAAACGUCGUGGUUAAUACCCGUGGCGGCUGACGGUACCGGAAGAAUAAGCACCGGCUAACUACGUGCCAGCAGCCGCGGUAAUACGUAGGGUGCAAGCGUUAAUCGGAAUUACUGGGCGUAAAGCGUGCGCAGGCGGUCCGCUAAGACAGAUGUGAAAUCCCCGGGCUUAACCUGGGAACUGCAUUUGUGACUGGCGGGCUAGAGUAUGGCAGAGGGGGGUUAGAAUUCCACGUGUAGCAGUGAAAUGCGUAGAGAUGUGGAGGAAUACCGAUGGCGAAGGCAGCCCCCUGGGCCAAUACUGACGCUCAUGCACGAAAAGCGUGGGGGAGCAAACAGGAUUAGAUACCCUGGUAGUCCACGCCCUAAACGAUGU